AGGUUUUGUGGGAAGUUGUGGAGAGAAGCAGCUGAGUGCUGAGAAGAGCCUGAGCAGGUCUGCUGUGGGCCUUUCCCAGGCGUGGCUGAGACUUUCAGGUGCCACGGGCUUCCUCCCCAGGCAUUGGAGUUGUUGUGGUGCAGGUGAUGAAGGCAAAUGUGGUGAGCAAAGGAAGAUCAGUGUGGAUGCGGCUGCUGCUGAGGAUGGCUCUUGAGGACCGGUGACCUACAGCACUGCCACAGUUAAGUUGAGGGGCAAAGGGUGUUGGGGCAUCCUCAGUUUCUGUGUAUGUGUGUGUGCGUGCUGAUGUUCAGUGUAGAGUGGAGGGUUGUUCUGGAUGAGUGGUGUGUGUGAGGCAGAGGCAGUGGGGUGUGCAUGGCAGAAAGCGAGGGUGGAUGUCAGGCAGGGCAGCUCCAGCCUGUGUCUGUGUUGUUGUGUAGUUUAUGUGGUGUGUGUUGUAGCUGUGCUAUCUUUUGCUCAGGUCUUGAUGUUGCUCUUGCUCUUUGUGCUCAAGGAGCACAGCCUAUGCUCUGCAGCAGUAGCGUGGCAGGCAUCCAUUGUCUUUUGCCUGGCCAGACUCAUCAGCAUUGCUCCAAUGGACUACGUCUUGUUCUGCAUAGGCAGCUGAAAGGGGUGGUCUGUGACUCUGACUGUGCAUCGUGG